rnacentral:tRNA from 1 species
GCCUUGAUAGCUCAGUCGGUAGAGCGCUACCUUGGUAAGGUAGAGGUCGGGAGUUCAAUUCUCCCUCAAGGCUCCA